rnacentral:rRNA from 1 species
UUCGCCCUUAGAGUUUGCUUUUGGCUCAGGACGAACGCUGGCGGCGUGCUUAAUACAUGCAAGUCGAACGGAGGCAGAGACUUCGGUUUCUGUCUUAGUGGCGAACGGGUGAGUAACGCGUGAAUAACCUGACUCAAAGAGGGGGAUAACAAUCGGAAACGAUUGCUAAUACCGCAUAAGACCACAACACCGCAUGAUGAAGGGGUCAAAGAGAUAUCGCUUUGAGAGGGGUUCGCGUCCCAUUAGGUAGUUGGAGGGGUAACGGCCCACCAAGCCAACGAUGGGUAGCCGAGCUGAGAGGCUGAUCGGCCACACUGGAACUGAGACACGGUCCAGACUCCUACGGGAGGCAGCAGUAGGGAAUAUUGGGCAAUGGGCGCAAGCCUGACCCAGCAACGCCGCGUGAGGGAAGAAGGUUUUCGGAUUGUAAACCUCUGUCCUAUGUGACGAAGGAAGUGACGGUAGCAUAGGAGGAAGCCCCGGCUAACUACGUGCCAGCAGCCGCGGUAAUACGUAGGGGGCGAGCGUUGUCCGGAAUUACUGGGCGUAAAGGGUGCGUAGGCGGUUUGGUAAGUUGGAUGUGAAAUACCCGGGCUUAACUUGGGGGCUGCAUCCAAUACUGCUGAACUUGAGUGCAGGAGAGGAAAGCAGAAUUCCGAGUGUAGCGGUGAAAUGCGUAGAGAUUCGGAGGAACACCAGUGGCGAAGGCGGCCUACUGGGCUCUAACUGACGCUGAGGCUCGAAAGUGUGGGGAGCAAACAGAAGUAGAUACCCUGGUAGUCCACACUGUAAACGAUGAUUGCUAGGUGUGGGGGGUUCUACCCCCCUCCGUGCCGGAGCUAACGCAAUAAGCAAUCCACCUGGGGAGUACGGCCGCAAGGCUGAAACUCAAAGGAAUUGACGGGGGCCCGCACAAGCAGUGGAUUAUGUGGUUUAAUUCGAAGCAACGCGAAGAACCUUACCAGGUCUUGACAUCCGACUAACGAGGCAGAGAUGCGUCAGGUGCCCUUCGGGGAAAGUCGAGACAGGUGGUGCAUGGUUGUCGUCAGCUCGUGUCGUGAGAUGUUGGGUUAAGUCCCGCAACGAGCGCAACCCCUGCCAUUAGUUGCUACGCAAGAGCACUCUAAUGGGACCGCUACCGACAAGGUGGAGGAAGGUGGGGACGACGUCAAAUCAUCAUGCCCCUUAUGACCUGGGUUACACACGUAAUACAAUGGCCGUUAACAGAGGGUAGCGAAGGCGCGAGCCGGAGCAAAUCCCCAAAAACGGUCUCAGUUCGGAUCGCAGGCUGCAACUCGCCUGCGUGAAGUCGGAAUUGCUAGUAAUCGCGGAUCAGCACGCCGCGGUGAAUAAAAUCCCGGGCCUUGUACUCACCGCC